UACGUAGGGCGCAAGCGUUGUCCGGAAUUAUUGGGCGUAAAGAGCUCGUAGGCGGCCUGUUGCGUCCGCUGUGAAAUCCCGGGGCUCAACCCCGGGCCUGCAGUGGAUACGGGCUGGCUAGAGGCAGGCAGGGGAGAACGGAAUUCCUGGUGUAGAGGUGAAAUUCGUAGAUAUCAGGAGGAACACCGGUGGCGAAGGCGGCUUUCUGGACGUCUACUGACGCUGAGACGCGAAAGCGUGGGGAGCAAACAGG
rnacentral:rRNA from 1 species